rnacentral:rRNA from 1 species
AGACAGGUGCUGCAUGGCUGUCGUCAGCUCGUGUCGUGAGAUGUUGGGUUAAGUCCCGCAACGAGCGCAACCCUUGCCUUUAGUUGCCAGCAGUUCGGCUGGGCACUCUAAAGGGACUGCCGGUGUUAAACCGGAGGAAGGUGGGGAUGACGUCAAGUCCUCAUGGCCUUUAUGACCAGGGCUACACACGUACUACAAUGCCGAUACAAAGGGCAGCGACACUGCGAGGUGAAGCCAAUCCCGUAAAAUCGGUCUCAGUCCGGAUUGGAGUCUGCAACUCGACUCCAUGAAGUUGGAAUCGCUGGUAAUCGUGGAUCAGCAUGCCACGGUGAAUACGUUCCCGGGCCUU